UGAGGAAAAACUUCCGCCUCCUGACAAGCCAAGAAUAAUAGUUGAUAAUCCUGACCAAUCAACAAAGCUUGUAGAGAGCCAAGAAGUUGGCCCUUCUACUGCAGCUGCGUCUUCCAAAAGUCGCCCACUACCAUGCUUGUGUGCUGGGAGGGACUGCUGGGGCACAUUCUGUAAGUGCUUUACCUAUGGAUUCUAUUGUGGUCAAGACUGUCAGUGCGGCGAUGGAUGUUUAAAUACCCAUAAAGUACAGGAGGAAUUUCAUUUCGAUAGGGGACUCGUGAUUAAAUGGAGCAAUUAUAGAGGAAGCUUGUGUAGGUGCAGCAAUAAAACCCACUGUAGUAACAAUUAUUGUGGGUGUUUCAAGCUGAAUCAGAGAUGCCUAAUAGGAUGUAAGUGUGUCGGAUGUACGAAUCCCUACGGUGAAAAGUGAGGUCAUACUUGAAGGCUAUGUUUGGAUUGACGGAAUAAAAUGGAAUGGAGCGGAAUGAAAUAUAGUGGAACGAAAUGUUAUUUUUAUUGUUUGAAUAAUUUAUGAUGGAAUGAAAUAAAUUUAUCACUGUAUUGUUUGUA